AUUGAACGCUGGCGGCAGGCCUAACACAUGCAAGUCGAGCGAGCGGCGGACGGGUGAGUAAUGUGUGGGAAACUGCCUGAUGGAGGGGGAUAACUACUGGAAACGGUAGCUAAUACCGCAUACCAUCAGAUGUGCCCAGAUGGGAUUAGCUGGUAGGUGGGGUAACGGCUCACCUAGGCGACGAUCCCUAGCUGGUCUGAGAGGAUGACCAGCCACACUGGAACUGAGACACUGUCCAGACGCCUACGGGAGGCAGCAGUGGGGAAUAUUGCACAAUGGCGGCAAGCCUGAUGCAGCCAUAGCGCGUGAGUGAUGAAGGCCGUCGGGUUGUAAAACACAUGCGGCGGGGAGGCGUUACCGUCAGAAGAAGGGCCGGCUAACGCCGUACCAGCAGCCGCGGUAAUUC
rnacentral:rRNA from 1 species